UAAAACAAGACAGGCCAACUGAGGAGUCUCUUGAUGAGUGUGGGUGUGGUUUUUAUGAUGGUCAGAAUGGCUGCUUGGUAUGACUACAGCCAUGUUAUUCCACAGAGUGCGCUGUUAGUUGUCUAGACUGCAGGACCUGACUGCUUAUUUCUUUAAUUCAUCUGUGUAAUCUGCAUUGCUUCAUUCAUGGAAACAUGUGUCGUGUGACACUCAGGAAUCUCAACCUCCUUCAAACUACACAUCUCAUAGACUAAAGCUGUUGGUAAAGCAUCCAACCCCUGCAAAACUAGUUGACUGCUUUAUUCUUAUAAAUGAACAACAAUCUCCAGGACUGCAAGACAAAGGCAGCUUCCACUUCAAACAAGAGAGAGAGAAAGCUUUAAAGCUUUUUUUUAUAAAUUGGAAUGAUUCCGUUACAGUUGGGCAUAACAUUCAUGCUGGAAAUGCAAUUUGUUUAAUGAUUAAAUGUUUUCUAAAGUUUUCACAAAGACUGGCCAUCAAAGACUUGAUGUUUGGGGUGUCGUCAUGGUUUAGAGACAGACUUUGUCCAUCAGAUUCUGAUUAAGCAAUCGUCCAAUUGUCCAGGUGACAUAAACUCUGUUUAAAAACAGUGCAAAGGUUUUACUGACACCAAGUGUACACUCCCAUGCACAAGCCGUUUUUAUUGGUUUUAGGCUACGUUCAGACAGCGGGUCUUAAUGCACAAUUCUGAUAUUUUAGAGGAAUCAGAUUUUUGAUGUGUGUGUGUGUGUGUGUGUGUGUGUGUGUGUGUGUGUGUGUGUGUGUGUGUGUGUGUGUGUGUGUGUGUGUGUGUGUGUGUGUGUGUGUGUGUAUUCAUUCAUGUCUUCUUUCAGUUUUGGUAUGAAGUGAAAGCAACCCUGAAGUGACUCGCAUGAGCAAACAGGGUUGGGGUCAAUUACAUUUUUCACUUACAAUUAUGUUUUCAAUUAUCCAUGUUCAAUUGCAGUACAGUUACGAUUGCAGUGACCGGAAUUUUUUUCAAUUCCAAUUAAAUUGUGAUUAUUUUCUAUCCCCUUGGCAUUCUGUUGUCUUUAAUCAAAAGUAAAAAUACACUAAAAAAAACAUUAUCCAUCAUCUAAUUUGUUUUUCAUCCCAAGUUUUGCGUUAAAUUUAGUUAAAAUUAACAGAUUUUAUAGAAUUUUCAUGCCAACUGCAAUUACAAAGUAAAUUGUCUAAAUUCAAUUACAAUUACAUUUUGUAAAAUUACAAUUAAAAUUACCCCAACCCUGUGAGCAAAAGUGGUCUUCAGGUGAUACGUGACCACUCAGCCAUACGCUCCGUUUACGGAAGUUAUUAUGGAUGCAUCUCGUCUUUAACGUAUGUGUGACACUAAUAAUGUGUAUUAUAUUAUAUAUUAGUAAUUCUAAAUUCACAAUUUCUUUCCACUUUGAACUCCAUCCUCCGCAAUGGCUGUUUUUAAUUACGUAAAGGUUGGAUUAAUGCAACCUGGCCGUUCAGACAGCACUCACAUUGCAUAAUAUCAGACAACACAUAUGGAAGUGACCUGGGUUGGAUUUGAACAAAACCAGAUUUGUGCCGUUCAAACUGCCUUUAACAGAUGGGAUACAGGUCUUAUAUGGGCAGAAAAAAAAAUCAGAUUUGGAUCACAUUAGCCCGCAGUCUGAACGUAGCGCGUGUGAGAAAUCAUCUACUGUCUUGCAACACUGGACAGGGGUGUAUUGGAUUGCAUUGCUUUGUCACGGUCAAAAAACGUGGGUUUAAUUAAAUUCUCUGCUUCGCCCAAAAUGUUUGUGUUUUAUCCCCAUGAUGGACUGCAAUGUUUGUUAGGUGCGUGUGUAUAUGGCAUGUGUUUAGUGUGUAAGGUGUCAAAGUCAUUGAGUAUUACUAAUGUGCCAUAAACUCUGGCAAAUGUUGGAUUGGAAAAUUCCCAAAGUGACAUGUGAUAUGUUGGAAUUGUUCUGCGUAUCGUGAUCUCUAAUGUUUUGUCUUCAAAUUCUGUGUUUUAGCUUGUCAUGACCCUAUUAUGUUUUCAUAUAUUGUUAUAAUGGACACCAUUCAAUAUUUGGAUAAGAAAAGACUGUAAAUUUAAUGAAUAUAAAUUAUUUUGUUGUAUUCUUCCUUAGUAAAAGAAGUGUUUUGGAUGUCUUUCUGUAACUGUAUGUUUGUGUAAAAUUCUUAUGUUUUCUAAGUGACGGAGGCUUAAACUCGCUGUGCUUUGCCCAUCUACAGGGACAAAUAUACUUUUUUAGAGAAUGGUCAGAAUGUAGUGACAACAACAGGUUUCGCAAGAGUGGCAGAAAUAAAUGUUAAUAGAAAUCACA
rnacentral:lncRNA from 1 species